UUUUGAUUUUGUCAGACUGUUGAAGGAUAAUUUUAACUUCAGAUAAACUUGAAUGUAUUUUUUUUUCUCCACAGAAUAAGGACUGGAUGUUGCCCACCAUGACUCACUGGAAGCAUGUUAGGAAAAGGGAUCUCUCAAUAUCCCGUAUAAACAGGAGGAAUCAUUAAAUGUUUCCAUGUUCAUAUCCCUUUCAAUACAAACUGAACUUGUGAAAUUGUGAAUAUAUCCUUUGAGGCAAAAGACUCAAAACAAUCCCACUUCUCAAGCUGUUUCAAAAUGCAGCUCCAGGCUUUACACAAAUUCAAAGAGACAACAUCACAUCACCUCUAUCUUCCCUCUUUUGAUGGGUUACCUGUAAUUUUUACAGUUGAUUGAUUUAAAGAGUUUUCUGAUAAUCUUUAAAACACUUUAUAGGAAUUGCUGCUCUCCUAUAUCGUAGGCACAGCGUAGCCUCAGAGGCAGGACCUGCCUUGGCUGUCAGCGCCACUGGAGCUUCCUGUCUGAGGAUCUAAGGAAAUUUGGAUUUAAAGAGUGUGUGUUGGUUUAUCUGAGCCAUGGGUGAAGCUGGAGCUGUUCCAGAGUGUGGCGUUGCUCAGGGCAUUUGGUCAAACACGUUUGCAAGAAGUCCCGACAACCUGGAGAUAAAGAAGGAGAAGACAGAUGAAUGUGAUCCAUCUGAAUAUGAACUAAAAUGAACAGAUUUGUGUCUGCUGA